rnacentral:rRNA from 1 species
GAUGAACGCUGGCGGCGUGCCUAAUACAUGCAAGUCGAGCGAACAGACGAGGAGCUUGCUCCUCUGACGUUAGCGGCGGACGGGUGAGUAACACGUGGAUAACCUACCUAUAAGACUGGGAUAACUUCGGGAAACCGGAGCUAAUACCGGAUAAUAUAUUGAACCGCAUGGUUCAAUAGCGAAAGACGGUUUUGCUGUCACUUAUAGAUGGAUCCGCGCCGCAUUAGCUAGUUGGUAAGGUAACGGCUUACCAAGGCAACGAUGCGUAGCCGACCUGAGAGGGUGAUCGGCCACACUGGAACUGAGACACGGUCCAGACUCCUACGGGAGGCAGCAGUAGGGAAUCUUCCGCAAUGGGCGAAAGCCUGACGGAGCAACGCCGCGUGAGUGAUGAAGGUCUUCGGAUCGUAAAACUCUGUUAUUAGGGAAGAACAAAUGUGUAAGUAACUAUGCACGUCUUGACGGUACCUAAUCAGAAAGCCACGGCUAUCUACGUG